AAAAACUUAAUCAGUUGAACCCUUUUCAACUGAUCAUUACUCUCAAUCGCGCUAGUGUCACAUUUCCUGUCAGAUAAAUUUGGCAGCAUCAUUUUUUAAUUUUAUAAUAAUUUCUUUUGGAAAAAAAUCAUAAAGUUUUGGGUCUCCCUAGAUUAUUGACAACUUUCACUGUGAGAUGGCCCGGGCAGUCAAAUAAGAGUAUUUUUUCAGGUCCUUUACUUAAUCAUUAAUUUUAUUAAUAUAUAUUAAUUAAAAUUACAAAAAUUUAACCUAUUUCAGUUUCAAUAGCGUAACCAUAUUUUGUUUUCCUUGGAAUGCUGCCAAUUAACCCUACUUUCAAUAUUUUCCUCAUUCUAACCCCAUCUCUAUUUGUUGCAAUGCCACCUCUAACCCAUCCUCCUCUUCCUCUUUCAACUUCUGUGGUAUUGCUGAUACCACUUCCACCAGCACUCGGCUGAAUUUGAGAGAAUUCUCCGGGGGAGAAGCGAACGGAGGAUAACACCAAAAUUUCAAAAAUUAAUUUCUAGGAAAAUCCUUGGUCGCGCAACCGAGAGAGCUACUUGUAUGAUAAUAGUGAACCUCUUCCUCUUCCCUUGAGUUAUCCUGACAGUUCUCCUAUUUUUGUGAGACAAAAUUGACCAUCGACUUCGCUGUGAUCCCUAAAUACAGGAUUGCAAACAAGUUGUCUAUGAGUAGACUGGAAAAUGCCGGAGCUGCCAAGGAAUGGAAUUUGUCAGUUACUACAACAAAGGAGGGAAUGAGACCAUCUGUAAAUGCAUACUUUGUCUUGGAACUGGUUGCUAAAGGAAGUUGUCGUCUAUUAAGCUUGAAUGGCCAUUUUGAAUCAUUUGGAGACAUGAUAAGUCUGGGUAUUGUGACUCUUGUGCCGAUGUUCUUACUAGAUAUGAUGUUUGCAUUUACAGACCAUUUUCCCAAAUGUGUGAUCAUUAAUCUUGUACCGUUGCAUAGUUCUUCAGUUUGAUUGAGAUUUCUAAGAAGCAUAACGGACAUCCUACUUUUAAGUGUAUAUCAUGGUUAUGGAUGCCUGAGAAUCGUAAGGUACUAAGGAAUUUAGUGGGGUACAAUAUAUCUUCCUCAUUAGUGUUCACACUUGCUUUGCACACAUUGUGAGAGUUGUAGUAGGUUCUUCCUUCCCCUGGUAUAAUAUUCAUUCUUUUUUCAUUUAGAUCAUGAACCAUUUCAUUUUUUGGUGUUAGUAUGGCUCUUUUUUUCAAGUAUGUUGGGUCGUUGUACUUCUGUAAUAGAGAUGGAUAUACUGUAUCUACAAUUGAUUCCACUUGAUUGUGUGAUGGUGCACUGGAUAUAUAAGGCGCGAGCUUAAUUAGUUCAAUAUUUUUUUCAGCAUGAACUGAUCCAUCUCCACUCUACAAUAACCAUCUAUCAAAAAUUGCAUCUGUUUUCCACAAGUAAGUCGCAUAUUUUCCUUUAGUUCAUAAAUUAAAAAGCAGGGCCACAGGUGCGAAUUGUUUAGCAACGCAUCAAAAAUAUAAACUCCUGUUCCUUUUUGAAUUACCGGAAGGAUUUGUCGGAAAUUAUCACCACACACGACUGUUAGUCCCCCAAAAGGCCUGUUACAACUAUUUUCAUACCUAUCUCGAAGAAUGUCCCUCAAGCUCUUGUGUAAGGCUUCUAGACAAUAUUUGUUUGCCAUUGGUGCUUCAUCCCAAAUUAUUAAACAAGUUUUCUAUUGUAGUUCCAGUAAUUGUCUUCCUUGGUUUAUGUCACAUGUUGACUCGUGGGUGACGUCAAGCGAAAUAUGGAACCGCGAAUGAGCAGUCUUGCCGUUCGUCAACAAUAAAGCUGCUAUACCUGAAGUGGCGGCUGGUUGAACUAUUUUUUAUUAUGAUCUAAUUUUAGAAAUAAUUGUAUUCCAUAGAAAUGUCUUACCACCAUGUCUGUGUAUAAAAAAUAAUCCGCCUUCUUUAUUAUUAACGAAUGAUAUUAUUGCCUCAUAAGCAGGUAAUUGACAACUAUUUAAUAGCGUAAAUGAUUUGUCGUGCAUAUUUUUUGUUCGCCUUUGUCAUA